rnacentral:hammerhead_ribozyme from 1 species
AUCUAGCUGACGAGUCUCAAAAUAGGAUGAAACGCGUGUUUUGGAU